rnacentral:rRNA from 1 species
AUUAGCUUGUAGGUGGGGUAACGGCUCACCAAGGCGACGAUCCCUAGCUGGUCUGAGAGGAUGACCAGCCACACUGGAACUGAGACACGGUCCAGACUCCUACGGGAGGCAGCAGUGGGGAAUAUUGCACAAUGGGCGCAAGCCUGAUGCAGCCAUGCCGCGUGUAUGAAGAAGGCCUUCGGGUUGUAAAGUACUUUCAGCGGGGAGGAAGGGAGUAAAGUUAAUACCUUUGCUCAUUGACGUUACCCGCAGAAGAAGCACCGGCUAACUCCGUGCCAGCAGCCGCGGUAAUACGGAGGGUGCAAGCGUUAAUCGGAAUUACUGGGCGUAAAGCGCACGCAGGCGGUUUGUUAAGUCAGAUGUGAAAUCCCCGGGCUCAACCUGGGAACUGCAUCUGAUACUGGCAAGCUUGAGUCUCGUAGAGGGGGGUAGAAUUCCAGGUGUAGCGGUGAAAUGCGUAGAGAUCUGGAGGAAUACCGGUGGCGAAGGCGGCCCCCUGGACGAAGACUGACGCUCAGGUGCGAAAGCGUGGGGAGCAAACAGGAUUAGAUACCCUGGUAGUCCACGCCGUAAACGAUGUCGACUUGGAGGUUGUGCCCUUGAGGCGUGGCUUCCGGAGCUAACGCGUUAAGUCGACCGCCUGGGGAGUACGGCCGCAAGGUUAAAACUCAAAUGAAUUGACGGGGGCCCGCACAAGCGGUGGAGCAUGUGGUUUAAUUCGAUGCAACGCGAAGAACCUUACCUGGUCUUGACAUCCACGGAAGUUUUCAGAGAUGAGAAUGUGCCUUCGGGAACCGUGAGACAGGUGCUGCAUGGCUGUCGUCAGCUCGUGUUGUGAAAUGUUGGGUUAAGUCCCGCAACGAGCGCAACCCUUAUCCUUUGUUGCCAGCGGUCCGGCCGGGAACUCAAAGGAGACUGCCAGUGAUAAACUGGAGGAAGGUGGGGAUGACGUCAAGU